UAAAAUAAAGUUUUAAUUGAAUAACUUAUUUACAUUAAGUAGGGCUUUUAUCUUAAAGUGUUUUAA
rnacentral:tRNA from 1 species